rnacentral:rRNA from 1 species
GUCCCACGCCCUAAACGAUGUCAACUGGUUGUUGGGUCUUCACUGACUCAGUAACGAAGCUAACGCGUGAAGUUGACCGCCUGGGGAGUACGGCCGCAAGGUUGAAAACUCAAAAGGAAUUGACGGGGACCCGCACAAGCGGUGGAUGAUGUUCUUUAAUUCGAUGCAAACGCGAAAAACCUUACCCACCUUUGACAUGUAUGGAAUCCUUUAGAGAUGAAGGAGUGCUCGAAAGAGAGCCAUAACACAGGUGCUGCAUGGCUGUCGU